AUGAAUCCCCUGACGCAGGUGAAGCGGACGCAGGUGAUAAACCAGAAGGAGGCGGCGCUGGGCCUCAGCGAGGACGCAUCCUGGCACGCCAAGUUCAGGGGCUCCGCCUACGUCUUCGUCGGAGGCGUCCCCUUCGACCUCACCGAAGGCGACCUCCUCGCCGUCUUCGCGCAGUACGGCGAGGUGGUCGAUGUGAACCUCGUGCGCGACAAGGCCACCGGCAAGUCCAAGGGCUUCGCAUUCGUCGCCUAUGAGGACCAGAGGAGCACGGUUCUUUCCGUCGAUAACUUGAAUGGGGCUAAGGUUCUUGGGAGGAUCAUCAGGGUUGACCAUGUGGAGAAGUACAAGAAGAAGGAGGAGGAGGACGAUGAGGAGCUGCAGAAGAAGAGAGAGGAGCGCGGCGUGUGCUAUGCUUUCCAGAAAGGCGAGUGCAACCGCGGCGAUGCGUGCAAAUAUUCCCAUGAUGAACAGAGAAAUGCAAACACUGGUUGGGGUUCUAAGGAGGAUGACCCAAAAUGGGAGCAUGACAGACACCGUGGUCCACAAAAUAAGGGGGAAUCCCGUGGUGUCUGCUAUGCUUUCCAGAAAGGCGAAUGCAGUCGGGGAGAUACCUGCAGGUUUUCGCAUGAUGAGCAGGUAGCUGUCCAGGGACGUGGCGUCUGCUAUGCUUUCCAGAAAGGCGAGUGCAGUCGCGUAGCUUCCUGCAGAUUUUCACAUGAUGAGCAGAGAAAUGCAAACACUGAUCGAGGUUCUAGGGAGGACAGCAAUGCAAGGCGGCAGCAUGACCAUGAUCCACCAAAGAGCCACAAAAAUUUCCCUGACAGGACUAAAGAAGAGGCGAGAUCAGGGGAUAGGGAUGGUCAAUCCUCAAGAUCAGAGUUGUACAGGGACCGAGAUUCUAGGACAAGAUAUGGCGAUAGAGACACAAAAGAUAGGGACAGGAACAUGCAGGAGAAAUCCCCUGAGAGAUCCAGAGGCGACAGGCAGAGAGGCGAUGACAGGGGAAGAGAAGAUAGAUCAGACACAAAAGAUAGGGACAGGAACGGGCACGAGAAAUCCCCUGAGAGAUCAAGAGGCGACAGGCAGAGAGGUGAUGACAGGGGGAGAGAAGAUAGAUCAGACGUAAAAGAUAGAGACAGGAACGGGUACGAGAAAUCCCCCGAGAGACCAAGAGGCGAUAGGCAGAGGGGCGAUGACAGGCGAAGAGAAGAUAGAUCAGAGAGCAAGCGGUCUAGGCACGACAGAGAUUCUGGUGUCCGUUACGAGAGAAGAGGCGACGAAGAGGAAGAACGGUACAGGAAAUCGCGGAGAUAA
rnacentral:rRNA from 1 species